rnacentral:rRNA from 1 species
GCCUAACACAUGCAAGUCGAGCGGAAACGACACUAACAAUCCUUCGGGUGCGUUAAUGGGCGUCGAGCGGCGGACGGGUGAGUAAUGCCUAGGAAAUUGCCUUGAUGUGGGGGAUAACCAUUGGAAACGAUGGCUAAUACCGCAUAAUGCCUACGGGCCAAAGAGGGGGACCUUCGGGCCUCUCGCGUCAAGAUAUGCCUAGGUGGGAUUAGCUAGUUGGUGAGGUAAUGGCUCACCAAGGCGACGAUCCCUAGCUGGUCUGAGAGGAUGAUCAGCCACACUGGAACUGAGACACGGUCCAGACUCCUACGGGAGGCAGCAGUGGGGAAUAUUGCACAAUGGGCGAAAGCCUGAUGCAGCCAUGCCGCGUGUAUGAAGAAGGCCUUCGGGUUGUAAAGUACUUUCAGUUGUGAGGAAGGGGGUAGCGUUAAUAGCGCUAUACUCUGACGUUAGCAACAGAAGAAGCACC